GAUGAACGCUAGCUACAGGCUUAACACAUGCAAGUCGAGGGGCAGCACAGUGUAGCAAUACAUGGGUGGCGACCGGCGCACGGGUGCGUAACGCGUAUCCAACCUUCCCGUUACUCUUGGAUAGCCUUCCGAAAGGGAGAUUAAUACAAGAUGGUGUUCAAAUUCCGCAUGUUAUUUGAACUAAAGAUUUAUCGGUAACGGAUGGGGAUGCGUGACAUUAGGUAGAUGGCGGGGUAAUGGCCCACCAUGCCUACGAUGUCUAGGGGUUCUGAGAGGAAGGUCCCCCACACUGGAACUGAGACACGGUCCAGACUCCUACGGGAGGCAGCAGUGAAGAAUAUUGGUCAAUGGUCGGAAGACUGAACCAGCCAAGUAGCGUGAAGGAUGAAGGUUCUAUGGAUUGUAAACUUCUUUUAUACGGGAAUAAAACCUCCCACGUGUGGGAGCUUGUAUGUACCGUAUGAAUAAGCAUCGGCUAACUCCGUGCCAGCAGCCGCCGUAACAC
rnacentral:rRNA from 1 species